UAAAUUUGCCCCGGGUGCCCUAUAUCAUCGAACCCUGCUAAUAGACAAAAGGUUUCCGUAGGUGAACCUGCGGAAGGAUCAUUAAACGAGUGCCUUCGGGUGCGAACGUCCGGUGAGGUCAACUGCACUGCUUCGGCGCAAGCCGAACGAAACCGUCGUCGUGUCGUCUGAGCCCACAUGAAUGACAAAACUUUCAACAACGGAUCUCUUGGUUCUGGCAUCGAUGAAGAACGCAGC
rnacentral:misc_RNA from 1 species